rnacentral:snRNA from 1 species
GAACCGGUACAUAUACUAAAAUUGGAACGAUACAGAGAAGAUUAUCAUGGCGCCUGCGCAAGGAUGCCACGCAAAAUCGUGAAGCGUUCCAUAUUUUG